UAAUAAGUGUUUUAUGGCACUUUUUAGAUCCAUAUCCACCUUGUGUGCAAUGUCAGUCGAUCUUCUUCAUGGAGAUCGACCAAACAUCAACCGUUAUUUUUUAACUCUUUGUCUGAAAAAUAUUAUGAAUAAACAAUUCAAAAUA
rnacentral:misc_RNA from 1 species